rnacentral:rRNA from 1 species
CCGAGGGCAUGCCUGUUUGAGUAUCAUGAACACCUCAACUCUCAUGGUUUGCCAUGAUGAGCUUGGACUUUGGGGGUCUUGCCGGCUUGCAGUCGGCUCCUCUCAAAUCAAUCAGCUUGCCAGUGUUUGGUGGCAUCACAGGUGUGAUAACUAUCUACGCUUGUGGUUUUCUACCAAGUAGCCUUCAGUGAUGGAGGUUCGCUGGAGCUCAUAAAUGUCUCUCCUCAGCGAAGACAAUUUCGUGAACGUUUGAUCUCAAAUCAGGUAGGACUACCCGCUGAACUUAAGCAUAUCAAUAAGCGGAGG